rnacentral:rRNA from 1 species
AUGUCGGUCUUUCAAAUUCCUAAGAAAAUUUGUAAAGGAAUCACAGAUGCGAUAUCUCGUUUUUGGUGGGGUGAUGACGCAACUCAUAAGAGUGUGCACUGGUUUGCAUGGUGGAAGAUGUGUAUUCCCAAGAAAGAAGGGGGUAUGGGCUUCAGAGAUAUUUACUGCUUUAAUCUUGCACUUCUGGCAAAACAGGCAUGGCGCCUUAUUGACAACCCGGACUCUUUGUGUGCGUUGAUCCUUAAGUCAAAAUAUUUUCCUGAUGGAGAUCUCAUGAAUGCAACUUUAAAAAAGAAGGCUUCAUAUACAUGGCGGAGUAUUAUGUCCGGAGUUGAUACGCUCAGACGUGGGUAUAUUUGGAGAGUUGGUGGUGGUGAGAAAAUUAGCAUAUGGGAUGAUCCCUGA